rnacentral:rRNA from 1 species
UACAGAGGUCUCAAGCGUUGUUCGGAUUCAUUGGGCGUAAAGCGCGUGUAGGCGGCCAGGUAGGUCCGCUGUGAAAACUCGAGGCUCAACCUCGAGAUGUCGGCGGAAACCAUCUGGCUAGAGUCCGGAAGAGGAGAGUGGAAUUCCCGGUGUAGCGGUGAAAUGCGCAGAUAUCGGGAAGAACACCCGUGGCGAAGGCGGCUCUCUGGGACGGUACUGACGCUGAGACGCGAAAGCGUGGGGAGCAAACAGG